GGUCUAAUAGUUUAAUGAAAAUAUUGGUUUUGCAUACCAAUGUUAGGUUUAGGUAACCUUUAUACCA
rnacentral:tRNA from 1 species